CUGGAGUUUGCAAGGCCCUUGUUUUCAGUCCCAAAUACUCUGCAUUCUGAGAAAGGACAUCUGUGAUAAGAUGGAAAUUGGCACUGGUAACUCAUGUACUGUGGGUGAAGCACACUCAACAGAGGCAGAACCAGAGGCCUCACACCCUUUGAAGGAUGACUGACUAAAGGCUGCAUUUCCAAGUUGCUGUUUGAGUCAUGACAAGCGUGUUGCAAUGUCCCAAAGAGACCCUGGCAGGGGCGUUUUUAAGAUAAAUGGUAAAACUGAACUGGAAAUCCAUCUGGCCAGCUGCCUGAUCUAAUGAAUAACCCCACUUUGGCUCCUGCAAUGUAAGCAGAAAGAGUUCUCUCCUGGCCGCUUUCGUCUGUCAUGAAUCUACAAGACAGCCGACAUAAUAUCUGGGCGACAACAGCGUGCUAACAGUGCAGUGACUUCCAUUUUCUUUGCUUUCUAUUGAUUUUCACUUAAUAACUGGCGAAAUACUAAACGUCCGCCCUGAGUACCUAAUAAAUCC